ACGUUAGCGGCGGACGGGUGAGUAACACGUGGGUAACCUACCUAUAAGACUGGGAUAACUUCGGGAAACCGUAGCUAAUACCGGAUAAUAUUUCGAACCGCAUGGUUCGAUAGUGAAAGAUGGUUUUGCUAUCACUUAUAGAUGGACCUGCGCCGUAUUAGCUAGUUGGUAAGGUAACGGCUUACCAAGGCGACGAUACGUAGCCGACCUGAGAGGGUGAUCGGCCACACUGGAACUGAGACACGGUCCAGACUCCUACGGGAGGCAGCAGGC
rnacentral:rRNA from 1 species